CUUCCAUGAUCUGUGGACAGAUCAGAUGGACAUGGCAGUCGAUUCCGCCCGCGGUGACGAUGCGGCCGUUGCCCGAGAUGAUCUCCGUCGACGGCCCGACCACCAGGUCCGGAUGGACGCCGGACAUGAUGUCGGGGUUUCCAGCCUUACCGAUCGCGGCGAUUCGGCCGUCGCGAAUCCCUAUGUCGGCCUUGAUGACUCCCCAGUGGUCAAUGAUCACCACGCCGGUGAUCACGGUAUCGGGCGCCCCUUCGGCCCGGGUGGCGCGGCCCUGUCCCAUCGACUCGCGCAAG
rnacentral:sRNA from 1 species